rnacentral:rRNA from 1 species
CAGGAUGAACGCUGGCGGCGUGCCUAACACAUUCAAGUCGAACGAACUGUAGAAAUACAGUGAGUGGCGGACGGGUGAGUAACGCGUAAGCAAUCUGCCUUUGUGUGUGGAAUAACAACCGGAAACAGUUGCUAAUACCGCAUAACGCAGAGAGAUCGCAUGGUCUUUCUGCCAAAGAUUUAUCGCACAAAGAUGGGCUUGCGUCCGAUUAGAUAGUUGGCGGGGUAACGGCCCACCAAGUCAACGAUCGGUAGCCGGACUGAGAGGUUGAACGGCCACAUUGGAACUGAGAUACGGUCCAGACUCCUACGGGAGGCAGCAGUGGGGAAUAUUGGGCAAUGGACGAAAGUCUGAACCCCCAGCGACGCCGCGUGAGGGAAGAAGGUCUUCGGAUUGUAAACCUUAGUCAACAGGGACGAAGCAAGUGACGGUACCUGUGGAGGAAGCCACGGCUAACUACGUGCCAGCAGCCGC